UCGCCGCGUCAGGGGUGCUCCGCGAGGGGCUGAGAGGACAACGGUCCAACCCUCAAGCUGAUCUGGGUAAUGCCAGCGGAGCGAGCACCAUGUUCUCAGGCG
rnacentral:ncRNA from 1 species